rnacentral:rRNA from 1 species
GAAAAGAAACCAACAGGGAUUGCCUCAGUAACGGCGAGUGAAGCGGCACCAGCUCAAAUUUGAAAUCUGGCGCUUUCAGCGUCCGAGUUGUAAUUUGUAGAGGAUGUUUCGGCCACGGCCCCGGGUUAAAUUUCUUGGAACAGAAUGUCAUAGAGGGUGAGAGCCCCGUCUUGACCCGGGCGUACGAGCCAUGUGGAACUCCUUCGACGAGUCGAGUUGUUUGGGAAUGCAGCUCAAAAUGGGUGGUAAAUUUCAUCUAAAGCUAAAUAUUGGCCAGAGACCGAUAGCGCACAAGUAGAGUGAUCGAAAGAUGAAAAGCACUUUGAAAAGAGAGUUAAACAGUAUGUGAAAUUGUUGAAAGGGAAGCGCUUACAACCAGACUUGAGCGCGACGGUUCCCCCUGGCUUCUGCCUGGGCUAUUCCGUCGUGUCCAGGCCAACAUCGGUUCCAGGGGUCGGUUAAAGGCCGGGGGAAUGUAUCUACCCUUCGGGGUCGACUUAUAGCCCCCGGUGUCAUGCGACCUCCCGGGACCGAGGAACGCGCUUCGGCUCGGAUGUUGGCGUAAUGGUUGUCAGCGACCCGUCUUGAAAACACGGACA